CACAGGCCCACGCAUCGAACCCCGUGAGUGUUCGCCGACGUGGCCCGGCGUCAGCGUCGCGUCGAUCUCUCUGCCGAGGACCUCGCUCUCCACCAAGAGGCGGUCAGCGCUGCCCGACGGCACCGUCGCCUCUAGGGCAUCGAACACCGUCGAGUAGUAGCCCAUCGCCGCGGUCACCCGCUAUGGCAGGUCAUCGGAGCAGUCGUCGCUGCCGGUGCUGUUGGCUUCCUUCUCAACGAUGGUCACCACGGCGGGGUUCAUGGAUUUAACCCACUUCAGGAAUGUACCUUGACUUCGUCCGGGAGAAGCAGAAACUGGCACUACAAGCUGUGCGUUGGCCGUUGGCUCGUCCUCCCCGCCUCCCCGGCGACGUCGCGGGGGCAGCAACCGUACUACCACGGCGCAUAUGCGGAGUCCGGGUCCGACCGCUUCCACUAUGCGUACCAGCGCGCUGGUAGCUCCACAGCAUCGGCGCUGAGGCUGCGCAUGAGGGGCGCGAUGUCCAACCGUAACAUCACGCUGUCAGUCAGCGCGCACACCAACCUCCUUGCCGGCAACGAGGAAGGGAACGGUGAAGUGGAAAUAGUGGCUGGCAGCAGUGAGGAGGAUGAGGCAAAGGAGUGGAGACGGCGUACAUCCUCCUUGUCGGGUGCCAUGCGAGGGUGAAAUGGGAUCUGCAAGCCUACAUGGGCCCUGAUUGUUCUUUCCUUCUUCUUUUUUCAAGUACAUCGGUUCGAUUCAAUCUCAGUACCAAGAAAUGAAUUUGCGAAUCUGAUGAGCCAUCAUGUGGUUUUCCCUACCUGUCGUGACAUGGUCUCUGCAGAAUCUGACAUUCCUGUUUACAGUACAUGUACUUACUGAUCGACUCUGGUUCAGAUGGCUUGAUAUUUUUAACGCUGACAAAAUUUACCAGGUCUCGUGAAUCCUUCUAAGCUCCUGACCAGCAUUGACGAACAGAUAGCGGAAAGCCAGGGAGGAGCCGUCCAGGAGAGAAAUCAUGGAGAAGAUAAACAAGUGGCUGCUGGCUUGCGAGGAAGAGAAAUGGCUGGAUGAGUACAAUAUGGUAGGUCCAAAAUGUGGGUUUGGAUACAUCGAACACUGAUUUCAAAUGUGGAAGACAGAUAAAGACCAGGCAAACUAUAUUGAAUGGGAGAGGAUAAAGCCAAUCAACAUAUGAGAGGUCGCCGUCGCAGGCUGCGCAGCAGGUGUCGCCCCAGCAGCAAUAUAGGCGGUGGUGGCUGUGCGGGCCCAGGCACUGGCCCAGGUGACGCGGGCAAGCCAAAGAGGUCGGGCUGCAGGCUGUAGCUGCCGCCGAGCUGCUCCUGGCGCUUCUGGUUCCAGUCGCCAACUCAUCAGAUGUACUAUAUAGAUAUAGACCGUGAACUUUGUAUUGAUGAUUUUCUUUGUGGUGAUGAUUACAAAAUAAAUAUUUCUGAACUAAUGAAGAUCAGUUCAAUAACCUGCAUGGGAUUAGCCAAUUGGAACAUCAAAAGUCUGAUGCCCUCGCCUUGUACCGUCUUGAGUACAAGUCCUCUAGCUCCAAAAGAAGCGUCAGGUCAAAACUGUCCAGUAGUCCACUGAAUGAAAUCCAGCAGCAAAUGGGCAGGCUGACUGCAGACAGUCCUGUGGAGAACAAACGGACUGCUAGGAGCAAGCCAAAGGCUAACCAGAAGGAUACCAAUGCAAAUAUUCAUCCCCAUGUUAACGCCCCCAAUCAAGUUAAUGCUCCAAAUGCUUAUCAAGCAACACCGCAGGUGAACCAAAUGACACUUAUGAAUGGGAACGUUGUUUAUGGACCUCAUCUCCCACAUUCUGAAGACGUCAUCUAUGGACCUCAUCUUCCACAUGGAUACUCAGCUGAAGGAAGCAGCUUCUUUUGGAACACAAGUGACUAUCAAUAUACAUAAAAGUUGCUAACAAAAACUAUCACAUUUUUCUCAAAGAUCAGUUCAAAUUAAAGUGCUCUUAUUCUGUGUUUAAGCGACUUAUUUCUGUAUAUUGCGGAAUGUCUGAAGCUUAUGUUCACUGUUUGAUCUGCUGCUGCUGAAUAAUGUUGCCAGCCUAGGGUUCAUGUCACUUUUCAUCUGCAUUUUUACUACAAGCAUCCUAGAAAUGAGAUGGAGUGGUGUUGGAAUUGAUGACACAUGUGUGCGAUUUGAAAAACACCUGUUUUGUGUUGUGCUUCCUUGCAUUCUCUACAACAAUGUAAUAGAUUACUAUGCCUUUUCUGUAAUACUUUUUAUCUGAAUUUUUUUAUAAUAUUUAUAUCUUACAACAAA